GAUGAACGCUGGCGGCGUGCCUAAUACAUGCAAGUCGAGCGAACGGACGAGAAGCUUGCUUCUCUGAUGUUAGCGGCGGACGGGUGAGUAACACGUGGAUAACCUACCUAUAAGACUGGGAUAACUUCGGGAAACCGGAGCUAAUACCGGAUCAUAUUUUGAACCGCAUGGUUCAAAAGUGAAACACGGUCUUGCUGUCACUUAUAGAUGGAUCCGCGCUGCAUUAGCUAGUUGGUAAGGUAACGGCUUACCAAGGCAACGAUGCAUAGCCGACCUGAGAGGGUGAUCAGCCACACUGGAACUGAGACACGGUCCAGACUCCUACGGGAGGCAGCAGUAGGGAAUCUUCCGCAAUGGGCGAAAGCCUGACGGAGCAACGCCGCGUGAGUGAUGAAGGUCUUCGGAUCGUAAAACUCUGUUAUUAGGGAAGAACAGAUGUGUAAGUAACUGUGCACAUCUUGACGGUACCUAAUCAGAAAGCCACGGCUAACUACGUG
rnacentral:rRNA from 1 species